rnacentral:piRNA from 1 species
UGAUAGAGGUACUAUUAUUGAAUUGAUGG